rnacentral:rRNA from 1 species
UACAGAGGUCUCAAGCGUUGUUCGGAUUCAUUGGGCGUAAAGGGUGCGUAGGCGGCGCGGUAAGUCGGGUGUGAAAUCUUGGAGCUUAACUCCGAAACUGCAUUCGAUACUGCCGUGCUUGAGGACUGGAGAGGAGACUGGAAUUUACGGUGUAGCGGUGAAAUUCGUAGAUAUUGGGAAGAACACCGGUGGCGAAGGCGGCUCUCUGGACCGAUACUGACGCUGAGGCGCGAAAGCGUGGGGAGCAAACAGG